GCCGUAUCCAUUGGCUACCAAAGGGAAGGCCGAGGAACCUCGUAUUGUAACCUUAACAGCUACUCAGAGGUAUACUGACCACUGGUUUUACUUUUGGAUUGCACCUUAGAAUCCUAACUUACUGUAAGGACCCACCGACUUUAGAACCUAUCUAGGACAAGGAACCGAGGUCCGGAAAAAGGGAAGCAACUUGUCCAAGGACAUAGACGCUAAUCAGUAACAGAGCAGCCGAGAACUCAGGUCUCCUAGCUCUAGUCCAGGGCUCUUUCUCUUGUGAUUUUGGACAACUUGACAGAGAGGUAUGUUGGUAUGUUGGCAGCAGACCUCUGUGCUUUCCCGGAUCAAGCAUCCUGGGAUCUUGAACAACAGUUAAAGCAACAUUGCAUAGAGAAAAUGGGAUAGAAGGGUCAAACGGUGCUGAAGGCAGAGGUGUCCUAACAGCCGGGAACUUAACAGAGGGACGGAAUUUAUUUAGUAGUGAAAGUGGCUCAUGACAGGCAUCAUACUCUCAAGACUUCGCUGAUGGACUGUGAAUGGGAUGGUUGCAGUAAGAAACCAUUCUAACAAUGGAAUCUCUUCAGAAUUCAGAAGAAACAGGGAGGGAAAUUUGCCCUCUCCCUUGAUAACAUUUAUUGUUCAUAUAUGUUCACUUGCUAGGAAACGGGGAUAGAAAUAAAUAAGAUCCGAGUCCUGCUCUCAAGGAUACACAGCCUUGUAGCAAGUACACAAAGGCCAAUGCACCUUUUCCC
rnacentral:lncRNA from 1 species